GCCCCGCUAGCUCAAUUGGUAGAGCAGGGCGCUCUUAACGCCAAGGUUAUAGGUCCGAGUCCUAUGCGGGGCA
rnacentral:tRNA from 1 species